rnacentral:rRNA from 1 species
GUCUGCGGCCACGCCACCCUGAACACGCCCGAUCCCGUCUGAUCUCGGAAGCUGAGCAGGGUCGGGCCUGGUUAGUACUUGGAUGGGAGACCACCCGGGAAGAUCAGGUGCUAUAGGCC